UGCACAGAUAUUAUAUUGCCUCCCCCCCUUUUUUAUUUUUUUUUCGGAGCCCAUUGUACUUAACUGAAUUUUAUAACGCUGAUCGAUAUCUUGGUAAAAUAUUCAUUUUUAAACUAGCGGGCAGUGAAAUCUUUGCUUUGUGUGCUAAAGUCAACAGUCGCACAGUUCGGGCUCCAAUAAAUGCGGCGAUGCUGCGGCUUGGAGCAGUCAGGGCGUCUCCCAACGCAAGACAGUCCUCGCCGGGCCGUGGGCUGAGGAGGGCCCCGCACCAGGCACCUACUGGUAAGGAGCAACCUAUUCAGUAGUCGGAUAAUUGUGGCAGCAAAACAAGUGGUUGUAGAGGUAGAAGAAACGUCCAAGAUCACAACUGAGUAAGCAACAAAGAUGGAAUUGACAAUGAAGAUACUCUUCACGGGGGAAAGAGAAGUGGACCUAAAGUCAAAAAGGCUGGAGAUCAAUUCUUCAUUCUUGUAUUUAAAGCCAGUGGGACCAUAAAAAGUCAUGUGAGCUCUCUGAGGCUUUAUUUUUCUCAUCUGUAAAAUAUGGAGAAGAAUUCUACUGCUACCUUCCUUAUAGGCAUGUUAUGAUCAACACACUUUGGGAAAUUCAAAGUACUAUGGAAAUGUAAUCUGGUGGUAGUAGGGCAAGGAUAGGGAUUAUUCCUAUUAUUAAAUUGGUACAGUGAAUUUGGGUGAGAAAA